AGCAGCCGCGGUAAUUCCAGCCCCAAUAGCGUAUAUUAAAGUUGUUGCAGUUAAAAAGCUCGUAGUUGAAUUUCGGGGUCAGUAGUUUGGUCGUGCCAAUGGUAUGUACUGGGUUCACUGAUUCCUCCCUCCUGAUGAACUGUAAUGCCAUUAAUUUGGUGUUGCAGGGAAACUGGACUGUUACUUUGAAAAAAUUAGAGUGUUUAAAGCAAGCUAACGCUUGAAUACAUUAGCAUGGAAUAAUGAAAUAGGACGUUCGAUCCUAUUUCGUUGGUUUCUAGGAUUGACGUAAUGAUUAAUAGGGAUAGUUGGGGGCAUUAGUAUUCAAUUGUCAGAGGUGAAAUUCUUGGAUUUAUUGAAGACUAACUACUGCGAAAGCAUUUGCCAAGGAUGUUUUCAUUAAUCAAGAACGAAAGUUAGGGGAUCGAAGACGAUCAGAUACCGUCGUAGUCUUAACCAUAAACUAUGCCGACUGGGGAUCGGAUGAUGUUAAUUUUUAAUGACUCAUUCGGCGCCUUAC
rnacentral:rRNA from 1 species